rnacentral:misc_RNA from 1 species
GGUGAGUGAGAAGGAGAAAGGUCCCUCACCACCCACCCACCACCACCUCCUCUUCCACUGUCGCGGUGCACCUAAUACGUAAGGAUAUUAUCACCGUCUUCUAUUUCAUCUCUUUCUCUCUCUCUCUCGCUUACUCGCAUACGGAGAGCUUUUUGUAGCUCCCGAGACAGUGGUGCCCCUUGAACCUGAAAUUCCACUUCCCGACCCCCGAUUUCUUCGAACUUCUCCGGAGAAUUUCGCCGUUUCCAAAGAGUUUGUCUCGCAACUGAUGCAUGCAUGAAUCUGCCUCUACUUUUUUAGCUUCUUUUAAUCUGCUCGCACAUAUUGCUGCUCGCCUAUUACUGGAUCUGGAGAUUUUCUAACUUUCGAGCCCUUUUUCCAGUCAAAUCAUUAUUAGUUGAUUGAGAUGUCGUUGAAGAGCUUUGUACGCGAGCUUAGGGAGAUACGAGAUGAUAUUAGUACCAUAUCCAUUGGAAAAUUACAUGCAAUGGGAAUGCGUCGCCGUGUGCGAGCGCACAUUGCUCCGGAAGGUGGGUCUGAGUUGCCGUGUGAAGUGAUUGAUCAGAGCCCAUGGGCAGACUUGCCCCCUGAAUUGCUCCAUGACAUAAUUAAGCGUGUUGAGGCCAGUGAGACCUCGUGGCCUGCGCGGAGGGAUGUUGUUGCUUGUGCCUCCGUCUGCAAGUCGUGGAGGGAGAUCACAAAAGACAUUGUUAAGACCCCUGAGCAAUGUGGCUGUCUUACUUUCCCCAUCUCGCUAAAGCAGCCUGGGCCAAGAGAUGCUCCCAUUCAAUGCUUUAUUCGCCGCGAUAGGGCAACUUCGACGUAUCUCUUGUAUCUUGGUUUG